GAUGAAGAACGCAGCGAAAUGCGAUAAGUAAUGUGAAUUGCAGAAUUCAGUGAAUCAUCGAAUCUUUGAACGCACAUUGCGCCCGCCAGUAUUCUGGCGGGCAUGCCUGUUCGAGCGUCAUUUCAACCCUCAGGCCCCCAGUGCCUGGCGUUGGGGAUCGGCGCGGCGCCCUCCGGGGCGCUGCCGGCCCCGAAAUUCAGUGGCGGUCUCGCUGUAGCCCUCCUCCGCGUAGUAGCACAACCUCGCGGCCUGGAGCUCGGCGGUGGCCAUGCCGUAAAACCCCCCACUUCUGAAAGUUGACCUCGGAUCAGGUAGGAAUACCCGCUGAACUUAAGCAUAUCAAUAAGCGGAGGA
rnacentral:misc_RNA from 1 species